CACGGGGGGAGCAAGCGUUGUUCGGAAUCACUGGGCGUAAAGGGCGUGUAGGCGGUCAGGGAAGUGGGAUGUGAAAUGCCCCGGCUCAACUGGGGAGGGUCACGCGAUACUGGUCGACUCGAAGGCAGGAGAGGGUAGUGGAAUUCCCGGUGUAGUGGUGAAAUGCGUAGAUAUCGGGAGGAACACCAGUGGCGAAGGCGGCUCACUGGCCCGGUACUGACGCUGAGGCGCGAAAGCGUGGGGAGCAAACAGG
rnacentral:rRNA from 1 species